rnacentral:rRNA from 1 species
GACGAACGCUGGCGGCGUGCCUAAUACAUGCAAGUCGAGCGAAGUUUUUCUGGUGCUUGCACUAGAAAAACUUAGCGGCGAACGGGUGAGUAACACGUAAAGAACCUGCCUCAUAGACGGGGACAACUAUUGGAAACGAUAGCUAAUACCGGAUAACAACAUAAAUCGCAUGAUAUAUGUUUGAAAGUUGGUUUCGGCUAACACUAUGAGAUGGCUUUGCGGUGCAUUAGCUAGUUGGUGGGGUAAAGGCCUACCAAGGCGACGAUGCAUAGCCGACCUGAGAGGGUGAUCGGCCACACUGGGACUGAGACACGGCCCAGACUCCUACGGGAGGCAGCAGUAGGGAAUCUUCCGCAAUGGGCGAAAGCCUGACGGAGCAACGCCGCGUGAGUGAAGAAGGAUUUCGGUUCGUAAAGCUCUGUUGUUAGGGAAGAAUGAUUGUAUAGUAACUAUAUACAGUAGAGACGGUACCUAACCAGAAAGCCACGGCUAACUACGUGCCAGCAGCCGCGGUAAUACGUAGGUGGCAAGCGUUGUCCGGAAUUAUUGGGCGUAAAGCGCGCGCAGGUGGUUUAAUAAGUCUGAUGUGAAAGCCCACGGCUCAACCGUGGAGGGUCAUUGGAAACUGUUAAACUUGAGUGCAGGAGAGAAAAGUGGAAUUCCUAGUGUAGCGGUGAAAUGCGUAGAGAUUAGGAGGAACACCAGUGGCGAAGGCGGCUUUUUGGCCUGUAACUGACACUGAGGCGCGAAAGCGUGGGGAGCAAACAGGAUUAGAUACCCUGUAGUCCACGCCGUAAACGAUGAGUGCUAAG